UGCCGCGUGGAGGAUGAAGGCCUUCGGGUCGUAAACUUCUUUUGCCGGGGAAGAAGCUGUGACGGCCUCUGGGGAAUGAGCCUCCUCUAUCUCUGCGACAACAGCCGGGGUAAU
rnacentral:rRNA from 1 species